UUUUCGCCUGUUUAUCAAAAACAUUUUUGUUAGCUUAUAUAAACAAUAUAGCCUGCCCACUGGUAUUUACUAAAGGGCCGCGGUAUUUUGACCGUGCGAAGGUAGCAUAGUCAAUAGUCUUUUAAUUGGAGGCUUGAAUGAAUGGUUGCACGAGAAAGAAGCUGUCUCUUUCUAAAGAUUGAAUUUUACUUUUGAGUGAAAAGGCUUAAAUAAUCUGAAGUGACGAUAAGACCCUAUAAAAUUUUACGAUUGGGUUUUAUUUUAUAAAAUUUAGUUUAACUUAAAUUAAGAUUAUUAUCGUUGGGUUGGGGCGACUUUUAUAUAAUAAAAUAACUGUAAAAUAAGAUAAUAAAUUUAUUUAGUUAGUUGAUCCUUUUAUAAAGAUUAAAAGAUUAAAUUACUUUAGGGAUAACAGCGUGAUUUUUCCUGAGAGUUCUUAUCGACGGAAUUAGUUGCGACCUCGAUGUUGAAUUAAAGUGUCUAUUAAGUGCAGGAGCUUAAAUAGUUGGUCUGUUCGACCAUUAAAACUUUACAUGAUUUGAGUUCAAACCGGUGUGAGCCAGGUUGGGUUUCUAUCUAAA
rnacentral:rRNA from 1 species